rnacentral:rRNA from 1 species
GACGAACGCUGGCGGCGUGCUUAACACAUGCAAGUCGAACGGAAAGGCCCUGCUUUUGUGGGGUGCUCGAGUGGCGAACGGGUGAGUAACAAGUGAGUAACCUGCCCUUGACUUUGGGAUAACUUCAGGAAACUGGGGCUAAUACCGGAUAGGAGCUCCUGCUGCAUGGUGGGGGUUGGAAAGUUUCGGCGGUUGGGGAUGGACUCGCGGCUUAUCAGCUUGUUGGUGGGGUAGUGGCUUACCAAGGCUUUGACGGGUAGCCGGCCUAAGAGGGUGACCGGCCACAUUGGGACUGAGAUACGGCCCAGACCCCUACGGGAGGCAGCAGUGGGGAAUAUUGCACAAUGGGCGGAAGCCUGAUGCAGCAACGCCGCGUGCGGGAUGACGGCCUUCGGGUUGUAAACCGCUUUCGCCUGUGACGAAGCGUGAGUGACGGUAAUGGGUAAAGAAGCACCGGCUAACUACGUG